rnacentral:rRNA from 1 species
CCUACGGGGGGCUGCAGUGGGGAAUAUUGGGCAAUGGGGGCAACCCUGACCCAGCGACGCCGCGUGGGGGAAGACGGCCUUCGGGUUGUAAACCUCUUUUGUACGGGAAGAAGGAAGUGACGGUACUGUACGAAUAAGUCCCGGCUAACUACGUGCCAGCAGCCGCGGUAAUACGUAGGGGACGAGCGUUGUCCGGAAUUACUGGGCGUAAAGGGCGCGCAGGCUGUGCUGCAAGUCAGCUGUUAAAUGUCUGGGCUUAACCCGGGCAUGCGGUUGAGACUGCGGUGCUGGAGUGCUGUAGAGGCAAGUGGAAUUCCCAGUGUAGCGGUGAAAUGCGUAGAUAUUGGGAAGAACACCGGUGGCGAAGGCGACUUGCUGGGCAGCAACUGACGCUGAGGCGCGAAAGCCAGGGGAGCAAACGGGCUUAGAUACCCGAGUAGUC